GGGCAAAUUAGAAACAUGGCUGCUUUUAAGAUACUGAUGAACGUCCAUUGAUGAACCAGAAGCUGAAAGCUUAAGCUCAGAAAGAUGAGAAGAAGAUUGCAGAGAAGAGGAAUUUUUCUAAGGGUGGUUUACCUUUCGCUGCAUUUCUGAUGAAAAAAAUGGAAAAAAAACUCAAACAACCCUUGAAGUUAUAGACUAAAAUGGUCCUUAAUGUAUGUAGUUGAGCUAAAUUCAUCUCUCAACGAAGAGACAGAGAGAGAAAGAGAGAAUUUUGAGGCUGUAAUUUGAUACUUGCAAGAGAAAUUAAGAGACCCAUAUAUUGGCGGGGCGACCCGGAACGCAACCCGAGGUUAGCAGCCAUGGUGAUUGUCUUUAUUUCUCUUGUUUUUAUCAACAGAUCUGAGCUUCAAUUUUACUCUUGUAGCUUUGAUUGUAUUGUUAUUCUAAAAGGGUGUGUUUUGUAUGAAGAAAAAUGUCAUCUUUGUGAUGAGUUUCAUCAAUUUGAACUAAGGGCCUGUUUGAACAUGCAAUAUGGAAUCAUGAGGUUAAUAGAGAGAGAGGAUUUUUUUUUGUCAAGGGUGGUUGCUCCUCUCUAUUGUGCCCAUGAUUUUCUUUUGUAGCAAUUAAAGCAACAACCCUUGUUAAUGAAUACUCAAACACACAAUAGUUCAGUGUGUGGAGAAAAUUAAAAGAAAGGUGUCAAAUAAGUCUUCGUUUUGUUUUUGGUGACAGAUUGAAUUGUACAAAACGGUCUGUGAUCAUGACAAUGUUUAAUUGUCUGUGCUAGCAAAAUUGGGCAUUGAAGAUAGUCCGACCCCGUAUCUUGGCUUGGCAAAUCCCAGUAUGGCCUGUAACUGAAGCUCAGUCUUUUGCAUGCAACUGGUGUUUUGCAGCCAUGGCGGGGUUACCUUCUCUUUCUCUGAGCAAAAAUAUAUUAUCUGAGCUGCAAAUUUCUGAAAAUUGAACUGGGAAGCUCAGGUGCUUACAUUUAAGUUUGCUCCAAUUAGAAUAAUGUAUAGUUGCACACUGGGUCAUUUGCACUUUUGUCUUUAUUUUGUGCCUAGUUUAUAUUUGCAUAUCAUAAGAUCCCACUGGUUUUGCACUUACAUGAGUCCAUAUCAUAAUAUCCCGCAAGUGGGGCAUAAGUUCGGUUGCUAAAGGGAAAGAUAUGCAAUUUCAUGUUGUAUACUAUCACAAAGAUGGGUACUUUAUCUACUUCUUAGAUAUAAGCCCAUGAAAUCAGGGAGACUUUAGCGGAAGAGAGCCCACUAAGUCUGCAUUUAAACCAAAAGCACUUGGCGUUUUCAGUGAAUGUUGUCGAUAGAUAGAUAUAUAGAUAGAGAAUAUGCUAUGAUGAUAGUCUCGUUCCUUUUUCUUUUGAGCAACUCAAUAGGGCACGAAACUAAAGGGACUGUAUCUUGGCGGGGCAAUCUGAAUGGCUAUGAUUUUAUGUCAGGCCAACAGUGUUUGCAGCCAUGGUGUCGCCUUCACUCUCUUGUCUUAUUAACAGAUCUGAUCCUCAACCUUACUCUUAGGGCGUCUUUGGUAUGAUGGAGAACAUUUUUCGUGAUCAAAUCAGCACUUGGUUACCAUUGUAUCCCUAUGAGGAGAGAAAAGUUGCGAAAUUUUCAGGUGACAGCCAAGAGUCCUAAAUGAAGUCAACCAGAAAAUGAAAUGAGGUUAAUAGGGAGAAGGGAUUUCUUCUAAGGGUGGUUGCCCCUCUCUGUUGUGCCAAUGAUUUUCUGUGGCUACUAAACCAAUAGCUCUUCUUCAUGCAAUAUUCAGAAGCAGAAUAUGAUCCAUAUAUGAUAAUAAUAGCACUUUCUGAGCUAACAAAAUGAGGCAUUGAAGACAAUCCAGCCUGUACCUUAGCCUGGAAAAUCCCAGGAUGCCAGCAACUGAGGCUCUUUCCGUUGCAUGCAACCGGUGAUUUUGCGGCCAUGGCAUGGUGACAUUCUCAUAAAGGGAUCGUUUGGUUGCUGGUUAGGAAAGGAGUUGUUCAUGUUAGGAGGUCUUUUUUGAAGGGUGGUUGCCCCUAUCUGCAACUCCAGUAAUUUCUCAUAUGAAAAGAGAAUGAAAAAAUAAAUAAAUCAAACAACCCUUCAAAUCUCAGGGAAUAAUUAUCCACACCCUGUUGAGAUUUUUGAAUCAAAUGGUCGUUUAUGUUAUGGAGUUGAAUUAAAUUCAUCUCACAAAGAAGAGAUAGAGAUGGAUUUUUAGACUUCAAUGAUACCUGACAUGAGAAGUUAAGAGACCGUAUCUUGGUGGGCCUACCCCGAAUGCAACCCGAGGUUUGCAGCAAUGGCAAUGUCUUGAUUCUCUUGUUUUAACAACAAAUUGAGCUUCAAUUCUACUCUUGUAGCUUGUUUGGAUGGUUACCUUUUGUGUUGUAUUGUUAUUCUAAAAGGGUGUGUUUGGUACAAAGGAAAAUGUUUAUAUGAUGAAUUUCAUCAGUAAUUGGUUUCCAAUGUAGCCUCUGAAAAGAAGAAAGUCCGGGAAUUUUCCUAAGAAAGUUAGCCCAAGAAGAAAAAUGAGGAAUGGAGAGAAGGGAUUUUUGUUAAGGGCGGUUGCCCCUCUCUGUUGUGCCAAUGAUUUUCUUUUUAACAACUAUAGCAACAGCCCUUGUUAAUGAAAUACUUAGACAAACAACAGCUUAGCCGUAGAUCUCAGUGUGUAGGUGUGUUGCCUUUCCCAUUUUGAAGUUAUUGUGCAAAAGAGGCUGUGAUGAUGACAAUGUUUUACGUUUUGGGCUAACAAAAUUGGGCAUUGAGGACAGUCCUACCCGUAUCUUGGCUUGGCAAAUCCCAGGAUGGCCUGCAACUGAGGCUCACUCUUUUGCAUGCAACUCUGGUGCUUUUGCAGCCAUGGCGUGGUUGCCUUCUCUUUGUCCAGUCAAAACUGCAGUAUCUGAGCCUCAAAUUUCUGAAAAUUGAACUGUGGACUUCUUGUGUUGACAUUUAAGUUUGCUCCAAUUAGAAUAAUGCCGGGGGCUGCUUGUGGGAGGGGUGUGUGCCACGAAGAAACAAGGGAAUGAAAGGCCGCUUUGCGUUUGUAGUUGUACACUGGGUCAUUUGCACUUUUCCCUUAUAUUGUGCUGGUCUUUAAUUUAUGCCCGUCGUAUCCAAAAAACUUUUUUGGCAGGGCAAGUUUAUAUUUUGUUGUCAUUUUAUCCCACAAGUUUUGCUAAGAUGACUUCAGUUUAAAAGAACUUCUGAGUUCUGCCUCACUAGGCAUAAGUUCAGUUGCUAAAGGGAAAAUUGUGCAAUUUUAUGUUGCACACUAUCACAAAAAGAUGGAUACUGUAUUUGCUUCUUAGAUAUAAGCCCAUGAUCUCAGGGAGAACCAUGAAGGUCCUUCAGAUAUUAAGGGAAUAGGUGGUUGACUGGCUGUGUGUGGUUGUGAAACUUCUGUAUUUACUAGGCACAAUAUUUUUAGGAUUUUAAAGUUUCAAGGUAUUACAAGUCCGUGGUUCCAUGCAUUAGGGUUCCAAUUUUAGUAUAGGUCAAAUCUAAUUGAUUUUUUUUGUUUUGUUCUUGCAGCAGCUGACCAUCUCAAACAAGUAAGGCUUUUGGUAAUUUAUUGUUAGGCUAUUCUUUGAUUUGAUUAUAAUUAUUGUAAUUAUUAAUUUUUUCUUGGGCCCAGCUAAGUUGCUCGGACUCCUAUGCGGGUGUUUAAGACGGGUGUGGAUGUCCAAUAUGGGUGCGGAUGUCCAAUAUGGAUCCGGAUCUAGUUUUUAAGAUUCGGGGAUAUAGAUCCAUGGAUGGACACGGGUGCGGGGAUUCGCGUAAAAGUAAUUAAAAUAUCUAAAAGUAGAGUUAUAAAACCUAAAUUAUGAGAUAUUAUGUGGAAAGCUUGAGGAGAAUCCCGGAAGCAGAUGAAAGGAGAUGGAGUGACAUAGAAAUGUCUAUGAAAGGUAUUCAAUUUUCUUCAAUUUCACCUUAACUUUUGUAUUGAGUACAGAAAAUUACUAAAACUGUCCCGACUUUCCCCAUCGAUUUUGGUCAAAGUACCCAUAAUCGGUUGACCAAAUCGGACAUGGAUCCCAAACGCACUCCCAUUUCAUAUCGACACGGGUGCGGCACCAAAAGUGAAGAGUCCGAGCAACUUAGGGGCGGAGAAUCUAUUGAGAACAACCUUUUAUCACACAGAAAUAUUAAUAAUAGAAUAGGGAUAAGUUCUGCGUAUACGGAUGUUAUGGUUGUUGUUACAGAUAUUGGAUGUGCUUGUAGGCUGCUAAAGUGAUUAGGGUUUUGCUUGAAUGUUCAUGUGCAUAUUCACCAACAGUGAAAAGUAAAAGGUAGGCAUCUUAUAUUUUUUUUCCCUAUAUAUGCUCUUGAUUGACUCCAUUAAUUUGUGUUAUAUCUUACAUUUAUAAACUAGUUUUAGAUGAUCAUUUAUUGGGCAGGACAUAUAGCUUCUUUUGUUUUCAAAUCAAAUUCUAAUUCUUUCCUUUUUUGGAGCUGAUAUUUUCUUUCGUUUGUAAUCUCUGCGUCUGCUUGAUGCUUUGUUAAUGGCAUUCUUCUUACUUCAUCAAAAAAAUAAAAUAAAAUUCUGAUAAAUAUUAAUUGCUCAUUGUCUAAAACAAGAAGCAUUAGUAAGUGAAACUAAAGAAGUGAAUGUAAUUUACUGUAAAUAUCGAAAUGCAAGAAGUAAACAAAUAAUAACAUAAUAUGUCAUCAUCUAAAGAAAAUUCAAGUGACUCAUGGGACAUAAUAUUUCUGGAUGGAAAUAUCCAUGAAAAAAUAUUAUUUUCAUAUUGUUUCAUGUUAUAGUUUAAUAAAAAAGGUCGGCCAGAAGGAGAAAUGAGGUCAAUUUCUUCUAAGGGUGGUUGCCUCUCUCUGUUGUGCCAAUGAUUUUCUGUAGCUAUCACACCAACAGCCCGUGUUGAUGCAAUACUCAGAAGCAGAAGAUGAUCCAUACAUCUCAGAGUGUGUAUUCUUAAGGAAUUUGCACUGAUGAACUUGUUUGAGGUAGUGAUAUAAUAAUAGCACUUUCUGGGUUAACAAAAUGGGGCAUUGAGUACAAUCGGAGCUGUAUCUUGACCUGGAAAAUCCCAAGGAUGGCCUGCAACUGAGGUUCUCUCUUUUGCGCCGCUGGUGAUUUUGCAGCCAUGGUGAUGGUGUGGUCGCAUUCUCUUUAAGGGGUUGUAUGGUCGUUGGUUAGGAAAUGAGUUGUUCAUGUUAGGAGGUUUUUUUCGAAGGUGGUUGCCCCUCUCUGCAAUUCUAGUGAUUUCUCAUAUGAAAAGAAAAUAAUAUAAAAAUCAAACUUCUUAAUUCCCGGGGAAAAAUUAUCCGGACCCUGUUGAGAUUUUUGAAUCAAAUAGUCUAAUAUGUUGUGGAGUUGAACUAAAUUUUUCUCUCAAAGAAGAGAGAGAGAGAAAGAGAAUUAUGAGGCUUCAACGAUACUUGACACAAGAGAAACUAAGAGACCCGUAUCUUGGCGGGGCAACCCGGAACACAACCCGAGGUCUGCAGCCAUGGCGAUGUCUUCAUUCUCUUGUUUUAUCAACUGAUGUCAACUUCAGUGCUCUUGUUUGGAUGGUUGUUACUAAAGUAUUGUAUUUUUAUUAAGGGUGUCUUUGGUAUGAAGGAAAAUGUUUGUUUCAUGAAGAAUUUCAUCAGUGUUUAUUACUAAUGUAUCCCUCUGAGAAGAAGAAAGUUGUGAAAUUUUCUGGUGAAAACUAUAAUUUUUUCGUUAAGGGUGGUUGUCCCCUCUCUGUUAUAGCAAUGAUUUUAUGUUUAGCAACUAAACCAACAACCCUUGUUCCUUAGACAAACAUUAAUCAACAACUAUGAUUAUUGAAACAUAUGCAUGGGCUGUGCAGUUUCUUGAAUCUACAACUUAAGCCGUAGAUCUCAGUUUGUGUGUGUGUAUUUUCUUCCUCCUUUUUGAGUAAUUGUGCAACAGAGGCUGUGAUGAUGACAAUGUUUUACUCUCUGGGCUACCAAAAUUGGGCAUUGAGGACAGUUUGACCCAUAUCUUGGCUUGGCAAAUUGCAGGUUGGCCUUCAACUGAGGCUCUCUCUCUUGAAUGCAACUGGUGAUUUUGCAGCCGUCGUGUGGUUGCUUCUCUUUUUCCAAAUGCAUUGUCUGAGCCUCAAGUUUCUCAGAAUCGAACUGGAGACCUCUUGUGCUUUGAAAUACAUUAAAGUUUGCUCCAACUACAAAUCAAAAGAAUGAUGUAUCACAGAAAGAUGAGUACUUCAUCUUCUUGAUAUAUAAGCCCAUGAUUUUAUAGACAAUAACCAAAGAGAGCAGGUUUGCAGAGAGGAGUUUCUGAAGGGUGGUUGCCCCACUCUGUAACUUCUUUGAUUUCUCAUAUGAAAAAGAAAAACCAAGCAACCUUUUAUAUAUUAGGGAAUUAUUGUUGACACCCAAGUUUUGACUCAAAUGGUCCUUUGUCUUAUGGAGUUGAACUGAUUUUUUCUCAUGAAGUUGGGGGGGGGGGGAUUCCGAGGCUGUGAUGAUACUUUCUUCUUUGGGAUUGGGGCAAGACAAAUUAAGAGAUCCGUAUCUUGGUGUGGCAACCCGGAUGGCGACCCACUUUCUGUCAUGCAACUGUUGGUUGCAGCCAUGGGGAUGUCUUCAUUUUCUUGUCUCAACAACCGAUCUGAGCCUCAAUUUUACUCUUUUUCUGCUUGUUUGGAUGGUUGUUGCCUAUUGUAUUGUAUCGUAUUGUUAUGCUAAAAUGGUGUCUUUGUAUGAAGGAAAAUGCUAAGGUGGCCCUCUGAGAAGAAGAAAGUUGGGAAAUUUUCCAGCGAGUUCAAAAAGAGAAAUGGAGGUUAAUUGAGAGAAGGGAUUUUUUGUUAAGGGUGGUUGCCCCUCUCUGUUGUGCCAAUGAUUUUCCUUUUAGCAACUAAACCAACAGCCCUUGUUCAUGCAAUACUGAGACAAACAUCAGUCAGCAGCUAUGACAAUUGAAACAUAUGCAUGGAUUUUCUUCAAUCUACAGCUUCAGCUGUAGAUCUCAGUGUGGGUGUGUUUCUGAUUUCUACUUUUGGAGAAUCCGUGCAAAAGAGGCUGUGAUAAUGACAAUGUUUUUCUGAACAAAAUCUGGCAUUGAGGACAGUUCGACCUGUAUCUUGGCUUGGCAAAUUCCAGGAUGGCCUGCAACUGAGGUUCUCUCUUUUGCAUGCAACUGGUGUUUUAGCCGCCAUGGCGAUGUAGCCUUCUCUUUGUUCGACCAACAGUAUCUAAGCCUCAAAUUUCUGAACUGGGGACCUCUUGUGCUUUGAGUUUGAAAUACAAUAAGGUUUUGCUCAGACAUCUUUAUAACAUCUGUUCUAUGUGAUAACAUUUCAGUUUUCACUAUAAGAGCCAUAUUUUUUCUGGAACUGAUUUUCAAAUUAUUGCAUAUUAUACGGUUCUAUAAUGUCAAGGGUCUAUCAGAAACAACUUGUCUACCUACACAAGUUAGGGGUAAGGUCUGCGUACACUCCACCCUCCCUGUCCCAGGCCACACUUGUUACACUAUGGGUAUGUCGUUGUUUGUUUGUUGUAGUUUCAUUUUUUUUUUCCUGUUCAUUUUGUCUAUAGGAAGUGAAAGACAUGAUGAACUAGAUGUUAGACUAGAAUUCAGUGCCUGAGCUGCUUUAAGUUCACAUUAGCUUCUUGUUCAACCUGAUCUCUAUUGCUAUAAGAAAAAUAUAGAUUGCUAUUACUGGGUUUUUUUUAAUAAGAAAUUUGUUUGUUUCCAUUGGCAUUAGCAUAUAAGGAAGAGAAAGGUAUGCUUGUGAAAUGGAGGUUCCAAUUGUGAGAUGUAAAAUGGAGAUGAAAUUGAGACCAAAUUAGUAUGCAUGUUCAUGUGGAUGUCAUUGUUGCCGUCUUCGGCUGCUUCUUAGUUGCUAAUCCCACUUCACCUGUCAGCAUGGAGGCUCUGAUGAGAAAUAUUUAAGUUACCUAUGGAUCUAAUAUAACUGUAUCUUGGCUUGGCAAUCCAAAUGUUACUGAAAUUGCAGCCAUGGCAGUGAAUUCCUUAUUUCUCUGAGCAUAUGGAUUGAAAAAGAAAACACAUACACGUGUAUCUUGGCUGGGGAACCCUGUGACAAGUGAAUUUGUGUCAUGCAACCGGUGUUUGCAGCCAUGACAAUUCUUCAUUUUUCUCGUCUUAUUUUCCUCAACAGAUCUGAGCCUCAAAUUCUCUCUUAGCUUGUCUAUGGUUGGAACUCUAAUGGAUUGGGAAUUUGAACUGAAUGUCCACCGAACACACAGUACAACCUUCUGGUCUGGACUCUGGAGUCUGACGCGCUGCCAAUAUGCCAUGGAUCCUUACAGUGUCUUUGUAUGAUUGAAAACACUUUUCUUCUGGAUGAAAUCAGUAUUUAGUUAGCAAUGAGGAUAACGAGUGAAGGGAUCUUCACAAAUCACCUGAAAUCUGAAUACAGGCUGUGAUGAUGAUUGCUUCUUUCUGGGAUAGCUACUUUACUGUGUGGAGUAAAUCUUACCCGUAUCUUGGCAGGGAGACCUGGUAUAGCAUCAUCUGUUAACGUGUCUGCCGUCAUGGCGUGGUCGCUUUCUCUUUCAUGUUCAUAGAAAAGCAAAAUCUGAGCCCUAAUAGUUUAACGACAACCAUCUGCAAACCCAAACAGAAUGCACCAGCUGCAACUGAACCCCGCUCUGUACUUUAGCAGGGUACUAUUUUACCAUUACACCAGUAGGACCGAGAAUUGAUCAUUUUUGCUCUGUUUUAUGUUAACAAGGCAACAGCAGAACCAUAUAACAAAUUAAAGGAAUAUUUAAUGAUGGGGCUGUGAUGAUUGCUUGUUAUUAGUAGUGAUAUUGCUAAUACUGGGCUGAUAUAUAGGGCAUGGUCACAAUCCAACCGGUAUCUUGGCGGGGUUACCAGGAGAGGUAGCAGCCAUGUCAGUUUCUGGUGGACUCAAUGGUGAUUAUUAAAUUGACAUCUGAGCCUCGUUAUGUACAUGAUGCACAUGUAUAUUGUCUGUAUCUCACACACACACACACAAAAAAAAAAACUUGUAUGGGUAAACCCGAAUCCUAAACCCUAAACUUUGUGAAUGAGGCUAUGAUAUUAUUCUCCAGGAAGGAAGAUUACAAUUCAGAUGUUUGAGCUGAUUCAUAUCUUGGCUAGGCAAAGGCAAGGAAUUUGUGAGGUUGUAUGUGCUCUCACAAAAGGCCUCUGCUUUUUGCAGCCAUGGUGGAAUAGACUCUUUCUGAUAGAUCAGAUGUAAGCCUCUUGUCUGGGCUUAAGUUUAGUUCUACAAUAUUUGGUCUGUUUCUUUCGUUCUUUACUUCUCUUUAUCAUUAUGUUGUAUGAUAUUGGUUUGGGAUGAUUCUAAACAGAAUUUGAUCCCAGCUCGUUUGGUCCAAAUUUUGAGUUCCUUCUUAUAUUCAUGUUCUUGUUUCUACUUUUACGUAAUAUCUAGACGAAUCCCAGUUUCAAAAGAAAACUGUUUUUUAACUACACAUUUUCCAGGAGUGAAACUAUUAGGUAUUGAUAUGAAACAAGUUUGAAAGAUAUGGAGGUGAAUAUUGAUACUGAAGCUAGUUGGUGAAAUUAUCUACACAAGUCCAAGCUUUCUUGCCUUAUUUAAAUCUUGAAAUUCCAAGUUUCAGAGGCAGUGAAGUUUAAGCAUAAUGAGAAGUGAAAAUUAUUAGAGUUGAUUCAAGGCCUGGGUUGGUGAGUCUAAUCAGAAGGUCUUCGUUGUAAGGCAGCGGGUGAUUGCAACCACAACAUGUUAACUCUACUAUUUCCUUUGAUUAAUAGUCGAAAAUCUGGCCUCAUCCCCAACUUGGUUUAUUUGCAAUUUUUUUUUACUAGUUUUUCUUUAAAUAACUUUAAACUACAUAUAGUGUGUGGUUCUUUGGUCUAUUAUUUUGAAUUUCAGGUUCUUUAUUUUGAGUAGCCACUAGUUUGUUAAGGGUUGGAGAGAGUUAUGGCGUCUCCAAUUACCCAGGAUCAUCUGUCGUUGAUUCGAGCCAAAUUCUAACUUUUUUCUGUGUUCUUUUAUCUAAUUUCAUUUUCUUUUGGUAUUUUUUAUCCCAAUAAAGCAGUACUUGGAACCUUGCUUUGACUUUCAAGUCUGUUCAACUCGUGGAACUUCAGAUUGUGUCGAUACAAAUUUGAUGUUGGUGCUCUUUCAUUCUCUUACACUCAUCGAUGUGUAUAUGCAGCAGUUCAAGAGAGGCCUGUUUUCUCCAACACCUGCAGGUAAAUGAUUAAACUGGUCAGUAUAAAAUAUCCAGCAGCUGAUUGACCUGUUCAAAUUUGAAUUUUGGCAUCACAGAAAUUUCAAGCAGUUGUAUGAUGUUUAAAAACUAAGAUUUUGUUGGUUAUCUCUCAUGUUAGUUGAAACUGAGAUUUAAAGUCAGCAUAGAGUUGAGCUUUCUAAAAUUCUUGGAAUAGCUUGUGAUACAGUAUGAGCAUAGGCUGGAUGUUCUUUAGAAUUUUUCUUAAAAGAUCAAGAAUAGUGUGCCUUUAUAUCCUGUUUUUAUCGAUUCUGAAUCAAGACAAAAGGUCAAAUGGCUUGUUCGACGCGAUCACACAAAAUGAGACUUUUCAGCGUUACCUAAUGAUGAAGCGAUAUGAUACAAUGAAAUUUAAAUAACAAUCGAAACAAACAUUGCAGCGAAACUAAUAUCACAAUACAAUAAAUAACAACCAUACAAACAAGCUGUUAUGAUAAAAAAAAGUUUGCAAUAUAUGAGAACUUCAUGACCAUCUUUGCGUACUAAAACAAUAAUGUCCUAAUAUGUUCCCUUGAUAAUUCAAACCCACAAUAACCUUCCGUGGUAUAGUAUAUUUCUUAAGAUUUUCAUAAAUGAUAAAGAACUACUUUUUCAUUCCCUAGUAUUACCUUGGUCGGUCAUAGCGAACUUGGGAAUUGGGAUAUAAUAUUGUAGUGUUUAGCUGAAAUCUUCAACCAUUCUUUAGCCAAGAAAGGAAGAAUGAGACGUCAGAAGUAAAAAAUGGGAUUUUCUGUAAAGGGUGGUUGCCCUCUCUCUUUGCUAUGUCAAUGAUUUCUUUCUUCUCCAUUUAUUUAAGAAACCAACAGCCCUUUGAUUUUAAGCAAUCAAGAAUUAUCUACACAUUUGGCCAUAGAAUUCCAAUAUUUUUGUGCAUAUGACCCAACAAAGAUAGCUGCUUUUACAAGACUUCGGAACCUAAAAAUGGGCUGUGAUGAAGAUUUGCUUCUUUCUGGCUAACAAUCUACUUCAUCGUGUUGAGAAGAUGUGACUGGUUCUUGGCGGGGCGACCUGGUAAGGCAUCAAUACGCUAACCAGUGUAUCUGCAGCCAUGGCCAUGUCGAUUUCUCUUUGCAUGUUCGUAGAACAGCAACAUCUGAGUCCUAAUGUGUACAGCAUCCAUUUGAUGGUUGUUCUUUGGGAACUGAGAUACCCAAUUGCGUUUUUUCAGUUUUUCUCGAACACCCCUUUCAGAGGCAGUGCUCUAUCAAAUUUUUAGCUCAAAAAUGAGGUAAUCGGAGUAAACAAGGAUUUUUUAGGGUGGUUGGCCAUCUCCGGUAUGCCAGUGAUUUUACUUAGCUCUAACCAACAGCCUUUUUAGCAUAUGUAUGAGGUCUAGACACCUCUGUUGUGUCAGUUGAACGCUCCAACUUACAAGAUGAUCAUCUAGACACCUCUAGAGUUUUUGUGUUACGUGCACACACGAGACACGAUGGGGAUGAGUGGGAGUGUUUAGUUGCCAUUUGAGAUCAAGUUGAGGUGUCUAGAUGUGCACUCUCAAAGUUGGAGUGCUUACUUGCCAGUCAAGACCAAGUUUGGGUGUGUUUAUGCAUUAUCCAUGUAUGUGUUUAAUUUAUGUCUGUUUCUGUCUAUCUGUGACUACUUUGCUUCUGUAUGACUGCAUUUUCAGAUAAAGCAGCAGCACAAGCAUAGAGAAGGGACAGUUAAGUAGACUUGCAGGGUUUCUGGUUAAAUUAUCUCUAUAAAUAAGAGUGUUCUAUAGAAAAGUGGAGGUUCAGCCUCAAUAUUAAGAAUGAGUCCGGCAGAGAGAAAAGGGAAUUCUUGGAGGGUGGUUGCCCGCUCUGUUUGGCCUAUGAUUUCCCCAUAAAAAAAUCAACAACCCUCUUUCGGAAGUACUAGUACUGGUUUCUUGUUUUCUCUAAGUUCAGACCAAACAUCCUUCUAAUUUUAGCUUAUGUUAAUGGACUAUAUGGUCUUCCUUUUUCUGCUUCUGUAUAUACUAUAGCUGAUAUUUGCAAAUAUCCACUUUUAUGUCCCUGUAAAUACAAAGCUAGCUGUUUUUUGUAAUAGUACUAAACCUUAAUGAGAUGUUCUAUUGAUGUUGGUUAAUCUGAAAUAGGAGCAAUCCGUGCAAAAACUGGAAAAAACCUGUGAUGAUGGGUAACUUCUUUCUGAACUAUAAUCUACUUUAUUGCGUUGAGAAAAUCCAAUCCGUAUCUUUGGCGUGGCGACAUGGUAUGGCAUCCAUAUGCAAAGCUGUGUCUUGCAGCCAUGGCAUGUGUUGCUUCUCUUUGCAUAUUCAUAUACAGCAAAAUCUGAGCCCUAAAUGUUUUGGCUAAAAAAUGAGGCAAUCGGAAAAAAAAGAGUUUCAGGGUGGUUGACCAUCUCCAGUAUGCCAAUGAUUUUAUUCUUAGCUCCAGUCAACAACCCUUUUGUAUCUGUAUCUGUGACUACUUUGCUCUUGCGUGCCGUCUUUUCAAGGCAAAGCAGCAGCAAAAUCAUAGAAACAUGGAGUUAACCCAGUAUGAAGAACGGAAAAGGGCCAAAUACACCCCUCCACUAUGAAGAAUGAGGCCGACAGAAAGAGAAGGGAAUCCUGGAGGGUGGUUGCCCUCUCUGAUUGGCCUAUGAUUUCUCCUUCAACCAAAUCAACAACCCUCUGAUAUACUAGUACUGUUUUCUUGUUUCUCCGAGGUCAGCAAACAUACUCUGAUCUUAUCUUAUGUUUGUUAAAACUACUGGAAUUGUCCAAACGCCUACUUGUGGAAAAGUUCCCAUCUUUCAGAAGUGGCUAUGAUGAUAAUGCUUAUGGCAGAAUUCUCACAGUUUAGCCCAGAAAGGAAGAAUGAGACAUCAGAGUGAUGGUAUUUUUUGUAAAGGGUGGUUGCCCCUUCUCUGCCAUGUCCAUGAUUUCUUCUCCAUUCAUAAAAAACCAACAGCCCUUUCAGAAGAAAAAAAGAACAAGAAUGUUGACUUUUUUUUAAUUAUAUAUAUAUAUAUAUAUGCAUGCAAUGAAAAAACAAGGUAGCUGCUUUUAAUUGGUGAUUUACAAGAAUGUUGAUUGAUCUGAAAAAAUGGGCUGGGAUGAUGAUUUGAUUCUUUCUGGGAUAUAUCUACUUCACUGCAUUGAGAAGAUCCGAUCCGUAACUUGGCAGGGCGACCCGGUAUGGCAUCAUCCGCAAACCGGUAUCUGCAGCCAUGGCGAUGUCGCUUUCUCUUUGCAUGUUUGUAGAACAGCAAAAUCUGAGCCCUAAAGUGUUAAGACUAAAACAUUCAUAUGUGUAUGUGUGAGAGUGUGUCUCUUUUUUCAGAUAAAGCAGCAGCAAAAGCAUUGAAAAGGGACAGUUAGUGGACUUACAGGGUAUCUGGUUAAAUUGUCUCUUAUAAAUCAGAGUAUUCUAGGGGAAUUAGUAGCUUAGUAGGUUGGUUGGCUUAUGACUACCUGGACUUUCACCUGUUGGUGAGGGUUCAAUUCUCCACCUUGUAAUCCCCUCCCCCUUUCCGCUUCUCCUAGCCCAGUUUUUUCAAAAAAAAAUAAAAUAAAAUAAUCAAUGUUGGAGGUUCAGCCCACUGUUUAGAAUGAGGCCAACAGAGAAAAGGGAACUCUUUUAGAGGGUGGUUGCCCCUCGGUUUGGCCUAUGAUUUCCCCGCAAAAAAAACCAACAACCCUUUUCAUAAGUACUAGUACUGUUUCUUGUUUUCUCUAAACUUACACCAAACAUCCCUCUAGUUUUAGCUUGUGUUUGUGGGAUUUUACUGGAUAGGUUGUUGUUUGUCAAAAGUUGCUCGAAAUUUUCCAAAACACCUACUUGGAAGUUUCCGUCUUUCAAAUGAGGUUGUGAUGAUAAUGCUUAUAGCAGAAUCCCAACCAUAGUUCAUCCCAGAAAGGAAAAAUGAGACAUCAGAGAGAUAGGAUUUUCUGUAAAGGGUGGUUGGCCCUCUCUUCCAUAACCAUGAUUUCUUCUCCAUUCAUAAAAACCAACAGCUCUUUGAGAAUAACAGAACAAGAAAAUGAAAGAAGGGACUAUAAAUGCGUCUUCUUUUUUUUUUUUUUGGGAACUGAAUUGAUAAUGCUUCUUCCUUUUUCUGCUUCUGCUACUGCUACUACUACAGCUGAUUUUUGCAAAUAGCAUUUUUAUGUUCCUGUAUGCUAAGUUGCUCGGACUCAGGUGCGGCAGUCCCAUAUGGGUGCAGAUAUAGUGGUCGGAUCCUCUAUGAUCAAAAUUUUAAGAUUCGGGGAUACGGACGGAUCCAUGUAUGGAUACAAGUGUGGGGAUUUAGCUAAGAAUAAUUCAAAUUUCUAAAAAUAGAGUUAUUAAACCUAAAUUAUGAGAUAUUAUGUGGAAAGCAUGAGAAUAAUAUUGAUCAAGAGUAGAAUCUUGAAAGGAGAUAAAAGGAAAGAGAGUGACAAUAGAAAUUUAUAUGUACAAAGUAUGUCAUUUCUUCAAUUUCACCUUACUUUUUUGUUUUGAUUAGUAGAGAUCAUUGAAUCUUUCCAGAAUUUCUCCCUCGAAUUUGGUCAAUGUACCGAAAAGCGGUUGACCAGAUCGGGUACAGAUCCCAAAUCUACACCCACACCUACGUCAUGUCGACAUGGAUGCGACACCGAAAGUGAAGAGUCCGACCAACUUAGCCUGUAUGUAUAAACAACAACAGCAUACCCAGCGAAUUCCCACUUGAGGUCUUGAGGGUAGGAUGUAGUAGACCUUACCCUACCUUUAUUGUGGAGUAGAGAGGCUGUUCUGAUAGGCCGAAGCAGGAUUGCAGGAAAAAUAUAACAACCCAAAUAGCAAAAUGGGUGAAUUUGUGUCCCUGUGUAUGUACAAGGUAUAGAAUGACAACCCAUGUUGCUUGAUCUGAAAAUGGGCAGUGAUGAUGAUUUGCUUCUUUAUGGGCUAUACCCUACUUCACUGCAUUUAUGAAAUCUGACCAGUACCUUGGUGGGGCAAACCAGUAUGGCUACCAUUUGCAAACCGGUGUCUUGAAGCCAGGCAUGUGUUGCUUUCUUUUUGCAUGUUUGCAGAACAGCAAAAUCUGAGCCCUAAAAGUUCACGGGAAGUAUUGAAUGGAUGUCCAUUCUCUGGAACUGGAAAAUUCAAUUGGGUUCUUCAGUUUUUCGUUCAGAUGCAGUUCUCUAUCAAAUGUUCAGCUUAAAAUGAGGCAAUCGGAGAAAACAAGAGAUUUUUCAGGGUCGUUGACCAUCAACAGCAUGCCUAUGAUUUUGUUUUUGCUCUAAUGAACACCCCUUUUAGCAGAUCUAUGAGAUCUGUGUGUGUCUCUCUCUCUCUCUCUCUCUCUCUCUCUCUCUCUAUCUAUCUAUCUAUCUAUCUCUCUCUCUCUAUAUAUAUAUGUAUAUAUAUGUAUAUAUAUAUAGAGAGAGAGAGAGACUUUUGCUUCUGCUGCUACAAUAGCUGAUUUUUGCAAAUAGCCACUUUUAUGUCUCUCUAAAUACAAGAUAGCUGCUUUUAAAUGGUGCUAAGGGCACAAGACAACUGAUGUUGAUUGAUGAAAAUGGGAUGUGAUGAUCAUUUGCGUCUUUCUGAGGUAUAAUCUACUUUUGAGAAAAUCCAACUUGCGUCUUGGCAGAGUGACCCAGUAUGGUAUCAGUUCAGCAGAAACCUCACCCAUUGUUUAGCCCAGAAAGGAAGAAUGAGACAUCAGAGAGAAAAGGGGAUUUCUGUAAAGGGUGGUUGCCCUUUAUCUGUUAUGUCCAUGAUUUUUCCUCCAUUUAUAAAAUAUCAACAACCCUUUGAGAAAAAGAAAAGAUCAACAAUUGUGUAGGCAUUUGGCCAUAGAUUCCAUUUAUAUGCGUGUAUGUGUGUGUGUGUGUAUAAUAUAUAUGUAUAUGCUUUUUCCUUUUUCUGCUUGUGCUUCUGCAUGGUAGAAAUGAUACAACAAGAUAGCUGUUUUAUUAGGAGUCAGAACCUAAAUGAGGUGUUUAAUUGAUAUGGAGUGAUCUAAAAAUGGGCCGUGAUGAUGAUUUUCUUCUUCCUGGGCUAAUAAUCUACUUCACUGCAUUGAGAAGAUCUGACCCGUAUCUUGGUGCAACAUCAUCUGCAAAUCAGUGUCUUGCAGCCAUGGCGUGUGUCGAUUUCUCUUUGCAUGUUCAUAUACAACAAACUCUGAGCCCUAAAGUGUAUGGCAAGCAUGUGAUGGCCUUAAAUGUAUGGUCGUUCUUGGGAACUAAGAUACCCACUUCAGUUUUUCAGUAUUUGUUGAACCCCAUUUUCAGAUGCAGUUGUCCAUUAAAAUUUAUCUUAAAAAUGAGGUAAUUGGAGUAAAAUGGUAAUUUUUCUGGGUGGUUGACCAUCUCUGGUAUGCCAAUGAUUUUAUCUUAGCUCUAAUCAACAGCCCUUUUAACAUAUCUAUAAUAUAUUAAAAGCAUGGAGGUCAUUAGCAAAGUUGUUUGCUUUUUUUACCCUUAAAACUAGAUUUCACACUAGAUAAAGUUGUCAAAUCAACCAAAUAUGUGUUUGUGUUCAAGGAAUGAGGCUUUUCUAUGGAACUCGAGAAAGGUUGAGAUUUUCCAAGGGUGGUUAGUCCCUUCCUCUGAAGUUCAAUUUAGCCUAUGAAUUUUCCAGUACUUCUGUUACAAUGAGAUAGAUAAACAACCCUUUUAUCAUCUAUGCCAAUAAUGUCUUGCUGUUGAUGAUGAUCUGCCAUCGCUAUGGUAGAAAACAUCUAAUUAGAUUUUCAGAAAACAGAAGAAAAAAAAAAGAAUUACUUUUUCCUUCACUGAUGUUCUCUUGGUCGGGCAUGGCACGAGCAAAAGAACUUGUGAAUUGGGUGUUGUGCUAUAUAUAUUUGUAUAACAUAAGUGUGUUUUUGCAGUACCCUCAUCAUAGUUUAGCCCAUGAAUGAAGAAUGAGACAUCAAAGAGAGCUGGGAUUUCUGUAAAGGGUGAUUUCUUUAUGUCCAUGAUUUCUUUCUCCAUUCAGAAAAAAAAAAGAGUCCUCUGAGAAAAAGAAAAGAUCAAGAAACUGAAAACGACCAUGCAGGCGUUUGGCCAUAGAUUCCAAAUAUAUAUAUGUUUGUUUCUGCUUGUGCUUCUGCAAGGUAAAAAUGACACAACAAGGUAGCUGCUUUUUUUAAGAGUUCGGAACCUCAUUGAUCUGACAAAAUGGGCUGUGAUGAUGAUGUGCUUCUAUCUGGACUAUAAUCUGCUUCACUGCGUUGGCAGGGCGACCCAGUAAGGCAUCCAUUUGCAAACCGGUGUAUCUGCAGCCAUGGCAAUGUCUCUUUCUCUUUGCAUGUUUUUAUACAGCAAAAUCUGAGCCCUUUAGUCUAUGGCAAGCGUGUGAUUAUCUUAAAUGGAUGAUCAUUUCAGGAACUGAGAUACGCACUUGGAUUUUUCAGCUUUUGUUGAACCCCAUUUUUUAGAUGCUGUUCUCCAUCAAAAUUUUAUCUCAAAAGGAGGUUAUCGGAGUUAAAAAGGAUUUUUCAGGGUGGUUGACCAUCUCCGUCUGUUACUGCUUUUACUGGCAAAGCAGCUGCAAAAGCAUAGAAAAAUGGAGGUUCAACCCAGUGUGAAGAAUGAGGCCAACAGAGAGAAAAGGGAAUUCUUUGAGGGUACCUCUGCUUGGCCUAUGAUUUCCCCAUAAACAAAAUUAACAACCCUCUUCUGAAGUACUAGGUACUGUUUAUUGUUUUCUCUAAAUUCUUUGAGGGUGGUUGCCCUCUCUAAUUGACCUAUGAUUUCUCUGACCAACCAAACCAACAAUCCUCCGUUGGUAUAUGUUUCUAUUGAUGAUUAGUUGAUAGCAGCAGUAGUAAUACUCCCUCUCUUCCAAUUCACUUGUCUUGAACCUGUUCAUUAUUGAUAUGGAAAAGAGUCCAGCUUUCGAAAGAGAGUGAUAAUAUUGUCAAUUCUGGGCAAGGAGAAAAAUCGACUCGUAUCUUUGUGGGGCAAACCCAGAUUAUAUAACUGGUUGAUUUACAGCCACGGUGUUGUCAUCUUUUCUUUGCCCCAUUUUACACAGAUCUGAGCCUCAACAUCCGAUGAGUUCCGGGAUCCAAAUCCCGAAGUUCAUUUGAUGGAAACCUUAUUCAUUUUAGCUCUAAAGGACAAGCCAACCGGAGGAAAAUGGGCCUUUUUGCAGGGUGGUCGACCAUCUCUGGUAUGUCAAUGAUUUAUUUGCUCUAAUAAACAAUUCUUUCAGCUUUUGUAUGUGGAUGAAGUGCACAAAUAGCCGCUUUUAGACCAUUUCCAAGGUCAUUGGGUGUUGUAAUUUCCUGUAAUUUAGGACCCUGUCUAAAGAAUAGCUGAAAUUUACAAAGUCGCAGGAACUUACAGUUUACAGAGUAAGGGAAGCUUAGCCCAGUAUGAAGAUGAGGCCAACAGGGAAUCAAAAAGGGAAUUUUUUUUGGAGGGUGGUUGUCCACUCCGGUUGACCUAUGAUUUCUCUUUCAACCAAAUCAACAACCCUCCAUUGGUAUAUUUGUGAAACUUUCCCAAAAAUAAAUAAAUAAAUAAAUCCGUUGCCGUUGAUGUACUGUUUCUAGCAGUAGUAGUAAUGUCAUACUCUCUCCAUUUCAAUCUACUGGUCUGGAGAACUGUCCACAAUGGUAUAGAAAAGGUUCCAUCUUUCUCAAAGAGGCAGUGAUGAUAUUUCUAAUUCUGCGCUGAAAAUCAGGGCAUGGAGAAAACUCGACUCGUAUCUUGGCAGGGCAAACCCAAAUCAGGCAACCCGUUCAUUUUGCAGCCAUGGCGUUGUCGGCUUCUCUUUUCCCCCAUUUUGCACAAAUCUGAGCCUCAACUUCCAAUGAGUCAUUUCAGAGUACUCUGGGAUCGAAACCCAGAAUCUCAGUUGAUGGAAACCCUGAUCCCUGUUCAUUUUAGCUCGAAAACAUGAGGCAGUCAGAGAAAAAUGUGGAUUUUUUCAGGGUGUUAGACCAUCUCUGGUAUGUCAAUGAUUUUUUCUUUGCUCUAAUAAACAACCCUUUUAGCUUUGUUUGUGGACAAAGUGCAGAAAUUGCUGUUUCAGAACAGUUCCAAAUUCAUUGGGUGUAUUCCUGGAUUUGCACUGUAAUGGAAGCUCAGCCCAGUGUGAAGAAUGAGGCCAACAGUGAGAAAAAGGGAAUUUCUUUGGAGGGUGGUUUCCCCUUCUGAUUGGUCUAUGAUUUCUCCUUUAACCAAACAAACAACCCUCUGCAAAAGUAGAAACAACCAACAAUAUUUGUUGCCAUUGCCUUCAAUGGUGGCAAUAUGAUGUUGAUGUAAGUAAUACUGUUCAAUUUUCUGAUCAUUCUGAGCUAGCUUAGACCAAAUACUUUUGGUAUGAAAUGCUCACAGAUCUGAAGGUCUCAUUUGUUUCAUUAAUAUUUCUUGUUGAAGUUAUUCAAACUGGCUCUUAUGGAAAAGUUCCCAUUUUUUCUGAAAGAGGCAGUGAUGAUAUUUUGCCUAUCUGAGCUGCUGUUUGGGGCAUGGAAACUAUUGACCCGUAUCUUGGCAUGGCAAACCUGGAUGCUUGUGAUCGAGUCUUCUCUUUCACAUGCGACUGGUUCUUUUGCAGCCAUGGCGUUGUCACCUUCUCUUUGCCCCAUUUUUUGCAGUUCUGAGCCUUCCAACUAGUCCAACUGGAUGUCCCAGGACUCGAAGAGUUCUGAACCUAAAUGAUGAAAUAUCUCUGCAUGCUCACAUAUAUUAUGAGAAAAUGUCCAAAAUAGUCCCUUAUUGAGGCAGUGAUGAUUCAGUUUAUCCUCUUGAGCUAUUAAUCGAGCAUUGAGGGUACCCGAUGGCAACUUGGCGUGGCAAAUACCUGGAUGCCUGUGAUUUUGUUGCAUGCAACUUGGGGAUAUUUGCAGCCAUGGCAUGGCAGGACUUUCUGUGCCUGAUCAUAAAUAGAAGAACUGAGCCUCAAUUGUCACAUUCAUCUUACUCUGGAUGUAUUUAGUAUGGAGGAAAAUAUUUUAGUCUAGCCGCCCUAAAGUGGCUAAAUGAUGUCAUUUCUACAACGAAGACCUUUAACAUGAGGCUGUGAUGAUAUUUUGUCCUCAUGAGAUGGUUGAGCCGUGCUAUAUCUUGGCGUGGCAGUUCUUUUGGGGUAUUGUGAGAUAGUGGAGCUGUUUUUGUUUGUGUCUCACGAAGCAUCCUUAAGCUUGCAGCCAUAGCGGGGUUUAGCUUAUGUAUGAGAAAAGGCGAAUCUGAGCCUCCCAAAUCUCUAUUUGUGUUGGAAGAAUGAGGCUUUUUAUGGGAACUUGAGGAAGGUUGAGAUUUUCUAGGAUUUUUUGCUCCCUUCUGAAGUUCAAUUUAGCCGGUGAUCUCCCUAUUCCUUUCUUACACAGGAAAUUACACCAAUGACCUUGAUAAUGGAUGGUCUUGACCCCGCUGCCCCAUGGAAAACCUUCAAGUCGAAGUCUGAAUUCGAAAGUUCUGCCCAUGGAGUAAGUGGGUCAAAGACCACGCACAUCUACAGGCCAUUCUUGUAAUUCACCCUACUUUACUGCAUUGAGAAAACCUGAACCGUAUCUUGGCAGGGCGACCAGGUAUGGCAUCAUUUGCAAACUGGUGUCUGCAGCCAUGGCGUUGUCCUUUUCUCUUUGCAUGUUCAUGUACAACAAAAUAUAAGUCCUAAAGUCUGUGGUUAAUAUCUCAAAAGGUCACUCAACUGAUGGGGAUUGGCAUGGCAGCUUUAAGGCUUUGUGAGAUAUGGGAAUUAUCUCACUGGACUAUUAAUGCUUGCAGCCAUGCCCCCAUGUCCAUUGUUUAGCUUUUUGAAUGACAAAAGGCAAAUCUGAGCCUCCAAGUAUAUCUCUGUGUUCAGUAAAUGAGGCAUUUUAUUGAACUCGAGAAAGGUAGUGAUUUUCUGAGGGUGGUUAUUCUCUUUUCUCUCAAGUUCAAUUUAGCCAAUGAAGUUUCCUAUGCUUUUGUUAGACAGAUAUAGUUUAACAGCCCUCUCAUCAGCAAAAUGUUCUUGAUGAUGACGAUGAUUGCCAUGGUUAUGAUAAUAAUAAUAUUAAUAAUAAGCAAAAUUACGUUUCCCCCCUCAACUUUUCUAGAAAAACCCAAAUCCUCAACCCUAAACAUUGUGAUGAGGCUGUGAUGAUAUUCUCCAGGAAGUUUGAAAAUCAGAUUUUUAAGCUGAUUCAUAUCUUGGCUAGGCAAAGGCAGGGGAAUUCAUGAGGCUGGUUCUUACGUGCUCUGUCACAACGUAUCUGCUUUUUGCAGCCAUGGUGAAUUAGCCCUCUUUUCUGAUUGAUUUUCACUCAAAAUCUGAGCCUCUUUUCUGUUUAAAGUUUUGGUUCUACAAUAUGUAGUCUGUUUUUUUCAUCCUUCGUACUAUCAGCACAUAUAGGAAGAGUCCCCUUUGAGAAAUGAAACUUCCUAUGUAUCCAUCUAUACAAUUUCCAUAGAUUGUUAGGUACUGAUAUGAAACAAGUCCAAAGGGAAUGGAAGUGGAUAUUUAGGAUCCAUAUAAUGUCUUUAAACAGUUUGAUAUUGAAGCUGGUUUUUGCUGCAUUUAUCUACACUACUCAAACUUUCAUGCCUUUUUAGAUCCUGAAUGCACCAAGUUUUCCAAGGCAGUGAAGAUUCCAUAUUGAAAAUGAAAAUGUGAAUAAGAUGAGAGUUGAUUCAUGGCCUGGCUUGGCCAAGUCCAAUUGGAAGGUCUUGUAAGGCAAUUGUUGCUUGCAACUGCAGCAGUGUUAACUCUGCUCUUCCUCCUCCAUUUUGGAUUAAAUAAGCGAAAAUCUGAGCCUCAUUCUUAACAUAGUUCAUUUUCUUUUUUAACCUGGUCUUUCUGAAAAGAGACUUAGAUUACCAUCAUUCUGGAACCACUGAAUCAACAGCUUCGGCUGCCACUGCCAAAACCCUAAAGAAAAAAUUCUUCUCGGUUGAGUACAUGCAUCUGUUAUCUGAACCUAAACAUGAGUAUGUCAGCUAAUAGUCCGUUCUACAGUUCAUGUCGCGUCUGGCAUUCUUUUCAGGUGAACAGUGUUGCAUUUCAUCUUUGCUGGGUGGCGGACCGGUGUCAUUUCAAUUGUUGGUGGUACUGAUGGUAAAGAUUGCUGGCUUCGGUUGAAUGUAAAUUGAAUCCGCCCUCAUGAAAAGGUGAAAAAAAUGUACCUUCAAUUUGUUUGUGUUUAUUUAAGAUCAUUUUGGCCAGUACUUUGAACUACACCUUGGAAUAUCAUCAAACUUGACAUGAAUUAUAUCCCAUACUACUUUAAAACUAAUACGCCUAUCUUGCGCUUAAAUCUUGAUUUUACAUCUUCUAUAAUUGAACUGCUAUCCCAAAGCAUGUUACUAAGUAAAUUUAUGCAUUACUCAUCAACUGCCUAUGGAUGCAUACACAAGUACAAGGAAAAACCAGCUUAUAUUGAACCUGAGGAUGAAGUGUAGACGCCAGUCGGUGACAGAAGAGAAUGUAGCUUCAAGAAUGAGGCAAGCCCACCCACCCCCCGUGCUGUCGCUGAGCAAUGCCAGGGGCCACAACGCCCGUGUAUCACAUUGCCUCAGCUUCCCUACUUUGCUUGAGACCUCAAUGAUGCAAUUCUCUGGUUCUUGGCUACUGAAGUUCUGAGAUAAUGCUUUAUUCUUUAAAAUGAUAGCAUUUGCUAUCAAAUGCGCCAUGUUUGUAUUUUUCUUACCCAAGAAUGUUUAUUAAUAUGGACAAUAUUUCUGUUGACAAAUUUUGUGCUUUCUUUGACACCAAAGUUUUCAUUUUUAUCCUCUUGUAAUUGCAGCAUAAAAUUUGGAAUA